AGAUUGAACGCUGGCGGCAUGCCUUACACAUGCAAGUCGAACGGUAACGCGGGGCAACCUGGCGACGAGUGGCGAACGGGUGAGUAAUGCAUCGGAACGUGCCCAGUAGUGGGGGAUAGCCCGGCGAAAGCCGGAUUAAUACCGCAUACGACCUACGGGUGAAAGCGGGGGACUCGCAAGAGCCUCGCGCUAUUAGAGCGGCCGAUGUCAGAUUAGCUAGUUGGUGGGGUAAAAGCCUACCAAGGCGACGAUCUGUAGCUGGUCUGAGAGGACGACCAGCCACACUGGGACUGAGACACGGCCCAGACUCCUACGGGAGGCAGCAGUGGGGAAUUUGGACAAUGGGCGCAAGCCUGAUCCAGCCAUGCCGCGUGCGGAAGAAGGCCUUCGGGUGUAAACCGCUUUGCAGGAGAACGCUCUGGCUAAUACCUUGGGUAAAUGACGGUACCUAGAAGAAUAAGCACCGGACUAACUAACGUGACCAGCAGCCGCGGUAAUCGUGA
rnacentral:rRNA from 1 species